GAUGAACGCUGGCGGCGUGCCUAAUACAUGCAAGUCGAACGAACAGACGCGGAGCUUGCUCCUCUGACGUUAGCGGCGGACGGGUGAGUAACACGUGGAUAACCUACUUAUAAUACUGGGAUAACUUCGGGAAACCGGAGCUAAUACCGGAUAAUAUAUUGAACCGCAUGGUUCAAUGGUAAAAGACGGUUUUUCGGGAUCUUAUAGAUGGUUCCGCGCCGCAUUAGCUAGUUGGUAAGGUAACGGGUUAUCAAGGCUACCAUGCGUAACCGAGCUGAGAGGGUGAUCGGCCACACUGGAACUGAGACACGGUCCAGACUCCUACGGGAGGCAGCAGUAGGGAAUCUUCCGCAAUGGGCGAAAGCUUGACGGAGCAACGCCGCGUGAGUGAUGAAGGUCUUCGGAUCGUAAAACUCUGUUAUUAGGGAAGAACAAAUGUGUAAGUAACUAUGCACGUCUUGACGGUACCUAAUCAGAAAGCCACGGCUAACUACGUG
rnacentral:rRNA from 1 species